rnacentral:lncRNA from 1 species
CUGGAGUAGCUUUGGGUUUCUUCUAUGUUCUACUAGGAAUAGGAGUUUACCUUUGGUCUAUGGUUCAGCCUGAUUUGAUAACUGUAAUACAUCUUGUAAUUGGACUUGUUGCUGCUCUUCUUGGCCUUCUUGUCAGCUUUCUUCUUGUGGUUGCUGUCAAGAUCAAGAAUAGGUAUCUUCUUCUUCCAUGGCUUUUUCUCCAUAUUUUUGUGAUCAUGUCAAGUAUUGCAAUAGGUAAGAAUAGUGUAGGGCAUCAUUUUAAUAUCUGUUAAAAGAUACCUGAGAAGUUUAACAAAUUUCAAAAUUUGCUAAAAGUUUGGUUAUUUUGAUACGAUGCAA